GGGGGGGGGGGGGGGGGGGGGUGGGGGGGGCGGGGGGGGCGGGCAGACGAGGAGCUUGCUCCUGUGACGUUAGCGGCGGACGGGUGAGUAACACGUGGAUAACCUACCUAUAAGACUGGGAUAACUUCGGGAAACCGGAGCUAAUACCGGAUAAUAUAUUGAACCGCAUGGUUCAAUAGUGAAAGACGGUUUUGCUGUCACUUAUAGAUGGAUCCGCGCCGCAUUAGCUAGUUGGUAAGGUAACGGCUUACCAAGGCAACGAUGCGUAGCCGACCUGAGAGGGUGAUCGGCCACACUGGAACUGAGACACGGUCCAGACUCCUACGGGAGGCAGCAGUAGGGAAUCUUCCGCAAUGGGCGAAAGCCUGACGGAGCAACGCCGCGUGAGUGAUGAAGGUCUUCGGAUCGUAAAACUCUGUUAUUAGGGAAGAACAAAUGUGUAAGUAACUAUGCACGUCUUGACGGUACCUAAUCAGAAAGCCACGGCUAACUACGUG
rnacentral:rRNA from 1 species